GACGAACGCUGGCGGCGUGCUUAACACAUGCAAGUCGAACGGAAAGGCCCUGCUUUUUGGGGGUGCUCGAGUUGCGAACGGGUGAGUAACACGUGAGUAACCUGUCCCUGACUUUGGGAUAACUUCAUGACACUUGGGCUAAUACCGCAUAGGAUCUCCUGCUGCAUGGUGGGGGUUGGAAAGUUUCGGCGGUUGGGGAUGGACUCGCGGCUUAUCAGCUUGAUGGUGGGGUAGUGGCUUACCAAGGCUUUGACGGGUAGCCGGCCUGAGAGGGUGACCGGACCAAUUGGGACUGAGCUACGGCCCAGACUCCUACGGGAGGGAGCAGUGGGGAAUAUUGCACAAUGGGCGGAAGCAUGAUGCAGCAACGCCGCGUGCGGGAUGACGGCCUUCGGGUUGUAAACCGAUGUCGCCUGUGACGAAGCGUGAGUGACGGUAAUGGGUAAAGAAGCACCGGCUAACUACGUG
rnacentral:rRNA from 1 species